GCUUCUGUAGGUCAGUUGGUCAGCGAGCACUGCACCAGAAUCGCAGAGCUGCAGGUUCGAUUACUGCCAGAGGUU